rnacentral:pre_miRNA from 1 species
GCGGUGGCUUAGUGGUCGUAUGUAUGACGUCAUUUACUGGAUUUUUAGGAGUGACAUCAUAUGUACGGCUGCUAAACUGCUGC